UGUCUUUCAACAGAGAAUGUUUUAUAGGCUUUUAUCAUACAUCCUGACUCACAUAAUGUGUUUGUAACAACACACUCAGAAUAAAGUGAUGAUCUGCUGAUGAUCUGAAUGUCUUGUUGAUCUGAGGCUCAUCAAUAUGACCAGAGCUGCUGAAAAGACUCUUUAUUUCAUGUCAAUAGCUCCCGUUCUCACCUCGUUAAUUAUGCUGAUGUCUCCAGAUCUCUUAUAAAUUGCUACUCAAAGCUCAUUUCAUUGUUUUCAACAGACUGAGACUGUUUGGUUACAGCUCUGUAGAUUUAUUUCGGAGUUUAUGCCUUCAACUGUUUUCCUAGUGAUGGUGAAAUGAAGCUUUACGAAGCACGAGGCUUUCCUCUCAACUGUAUCUUUUCAGCACGUUGCACACUAAUGAUAUCUUGUGGUCAAAGGCAGGAAAAGGUGUCUUCGCGUCCCAGACGUUUUUGAACCGUUUCAUCUAGCAACCCUAGUGAAGAGUUUUGUAGCAUUUGAAGUUUCCCCAUUCAAAGAGAUAGGAGCUGCACUUGGAUGCCCGAGAGCAUUUCAAAGAUGGCCGCAGAGUGACAUGACUUGUCUUAAAGGGACUUUGGAUCUUUCCACUGUGAGUUUUUCCCACCAUUAUUUAUAUUUUGGAAGAAUUUCAUUAUAAUAUUUAUAUUCUGUUAUCAGUUGGCAUAAAAACAAACUCAGUAACAGUUAUAUAUUUGAUUUUGGUAGAUCAGUUCCUCCCACUGCAAUUACAUCAUCAAUGAAGCUCCUCCCACACCGUUCACAUCCUCAGGGAAGCUCCGCCCCCAGCAGUUCCCCAAUAAAUGCUGGAAUAUUCCCAUCAGUUUACAACAGCAUCAGAUCAUCAGGAAGAGCUGAAAUCUGCAAGGACUGAGUUUCUUAAAGAGGACAGAGAGAAGAUGAGAGAUCCAGAACCCUGCAGAACCAAACUCACUGAAGACACUGAAGAACUAACAGAUGCGUCUCAAUCAUCGUCUGCAGAAAAACUGCUGUUCUUCACCAGAAUGAUGGAUGAAACACUUCAGAGAGGAUUGAGAAGAGAUUUCUCUGGAACUUUUUGUGCUACAAUUUCACGUCAAUAAAAAACAUGCAUUAUUCAGACACUUGAAAUAAUACUUUAAUAAAAGUAAUUAAAAAAUGAAAAAAAUAAAUAAAUCACAGUUACCUUAUUAUAAAACUGUCCUUACAAUAAGGUAACUGUCCUUACUGUCCCUCACACAGCUUGACUGACUCAGGAAAACUCUGUAGGGUGACACUUUAUAUCUUGAGGUGACCAUAACUUUGAGAAGGAAUCAACAGCUAUAACUGUGUGGAAAAAGCAGUAACAUUAGCAUAUCAGUAGAAGCAAUAAACACUUACAUUACAUUUACAUUUUAGUCAUUUAGCAGACGCUUUUAUCCAAAGCGACUUACAAAUGAGGACAAUGGAAGCAAUCAAAAUCAAUAAAAGAGCAAUCAAUGAUAUACAAGUGCUAUAUCAAUUCUCAGUUAGCUUAAAUCCAGUACAGGUAGUAAGGGCUUUUAAAUAAUAUAAAUAAAAAGAAAACAAAUAGAAUAGACAAAGAAUAGAACAAGCUAGUGUUAGAGUUUACUUUUGUUAAUUGUAUAAUAAAUGAAAAGAAAACAUAGAAUACAAAAUGAUUAGAAAGCUAUUUUUUUUUAUUAAAGAAUAGAAUUAGAAUAGUGAGUGCUGAAGUUAGAGGGUCAAAUAAAGAUGGAAGAGAUGUGUUUUUAGCCGAUUCUUGAAGAUGGCUAAGGAAUCGGAUUGAGUUGGGGAGGUCAUUCCACCAGGAGGAAACAUUUAAUGUGAAAGUCUGUAAAAGUGACUUUGUGCUUCUUUGGGAUGAACAAUCAAGCGACGUUUACUUGCAGAACGCAAGCUUCUAGAGGCACAUAAGUCUGAAGUAAUGAAUUUAGGUAAAUGGGUGCAGAGCCAGUGGGGGUUUUGUAGGCAAACAUCAAUGCCUUGAAUUUUAAUGCGAGACUAAGCAUAUGGAAUUAUAUUAUAAUUUUUUUUGAUUUUAAAUAAAUAUCAAUAACCGAAAGUGAAAUAUUAAGUUAUUUCAGCAUUUGAGGCUCUAGUAAACUGUAAAAUUAGCGAGGGAAAAACCUGUGUCCCUACAUUGCCCCAGUCAAGUGAGCCUUCAUCUGUGAACACCCAUCAAGCCAGCCGCUCCCUGGAUUUGAAUGUUCUUCAGUUUCUGGAAUUACUGUACAAAUGAGAAAGACGCUUUUGGAAGCCAUCCAUCCUUUG
ensembl:lncRNA